rnacentral:rRNA from 1 species
CCUGAACGCUGGCGGCGUGGCUAAGACAUGCAAGUCGUACGGGAUAGCAAUAUCCAGUGGCGCACGGGUGAGUAAUGUAUAGCUAAUCUACCCCGAAUUCUGGGAUAGCUGACCGAAAGGGCAGGUAAUACCAGAUGAUAUAACAGUGUCGCAUGGCACUGUUCUCAAAGGGCAACUGAUUUGGGAUGAGGCUAUAUUGU